ensembl:lncRNA
GCCUUUUAACUCCACCAGAACAAGCUCGAGACAGACUGGCAAGAGGAGCGUGUGGAGACCAGGGACAUGUUAGGCCAGUUUCAUGUGAUGCAGAAACCAGGGUGGACACGCAACGGGCACAGCGCCAGGAUUCCAGUUGUGGAUGGGCCAGACCAAUUAUCGAAACUCGUCGACCUAAAGCCAACCGAGCCCGCGUUUACAAGAGGACCACCAGGCCCUUUGACAAGAGGACCACCAAGAGGACCACCAGGCCCAUUGACAAGAGGACCACCAAGAGGACCACCAAGAGGACCACCAAACCUCUUUACCAGAGGACCACCGUUCAUUGACUUGGUCCGCACCAGAGUUUGAUUGGGGGAUCACAUCCCCUCUCUGUCUCUGUCUCUCUCUCUCUCUCUCUCUCUCUCUCUCUCUCUCUCGCUCGCUCUCU